UACGAAGGGUGCAAGCGUUAAUCGGAAUUACUGGGCGUAAAGCGCGCGUAGGUGGUUCGUUAAGUUAGGAGUGAAAGCCCCGGGCUCAACCUGGGAAUUGCUUCUAAAACUGGCGAGCUAGAGUAUGGUAGAGGGUGGUGGAAUUUCCUGUGUAGCGGUGAAAUGCGUAGAUAUAGGAAGGAACAUCAGUGGCGAAGGCGACCACCUGGACUGAUACUGACACUGAGGUGCGAAAGCGUGGGGAGCAAACAGGAUUAGAUACCCCUGUAGUUCCU
rnacentral:rRNA from 1 species